AACGAACGCUGGCGGCGCGCCUAAUACAUGCAAGUCGAGCGAGAAGGUGUAGCAAUACACUUGUAAAGCGGCGAACGGGUGAGGAAUGCAUGGGUAACCUACCCUCGAGUGGGGAAUAACUAGCCGAAAGGUUAGCUGAUACCGCAUACGUUUCCGGAACUUCGGUUUCGGAAAGAAAGCAAUACCGUGGGUAUUGCGCUCCUGGAUGGGCUCAUGUCCUAUCAGCUUGUUGGUGAGGUAACGGCUCACCAAGGCUUCGACGGGUAGCUGGUCUGAGAGGACGAUCAGCCACACUGGCACUGCGACACGGGCCAGACUCCUACGGGAGGCAGCAGUAAGGAAUAUUGCGCAAUGGACGAAAGUCUGACGCAGCGACGCCGCGUGGGGGAUGAAGGUCUUCGGAUUGUAAACCCCUUUCGGGAGGGAAGGAUGGAGUGGGUAACCACUUGGACGGUACCUCCAGAAGCAGCCACGGCGUAACUUCGUGCCAGCAGCCGCGGUAAU
rnacentral:rRNA from 1 species